AUAGGCAAAAAGUUGAUUCUCUUCUAGUCUCCAGAAGGAACACAGCCCUCCUGAGACCUUUAUUUUGACCCAGUGUAACCCAGUGAGAACUCAAACUUCUAACAUGCAGAAUUACAAGGUAAUAAAUUUAUGUCAUUUUAAGCCACAAAAUUUGAAGCAAUUUAUUAUUUCAGCAGCAAUAAUAGACUAAUACAAUAUUUAUUCCUCAGUGUUUAACUAUACAGAUUAUUGGGUAUAUCAUACUCAGGACAUAAACCAGUUGUAUUGACUGGAAGAAAAACCUACAACAUGGACUCUACAAGCACCUAAUCAUGUUGUACCCCUUUUCUUCACAGGAAUUAAAUGUUGGAAGUCCUCUUGAUUAUCAAGACACACAAGUAACUCGGAAGAUCCAACAACAGGUCAUGUUUCACUUAGAUGUGAAGUCCAGCUCCCAGUGUGUGCAGAGAGAGUGAUGAAUGAGGAGGCCGUGUUAUCAGAAGGCCGGGUGGGACAGAGUUCUGAUUGGAGAAACUGAAGUGUCACUGAGGAGAUGGAAAUCCUGCCUAAUCUAAGAGGUGGCACAGCAGAGAGGAAAAAGGAGAAUGACCGAUUCUCAUCUGCCCAUGGCUGUGCAAGGGAGAACUACAGCACUGGGCUCUCUGCGCCUGUGCUCUGUAAGUACCAUUGACUCUUCCCUCUAGUUGUAGAGAUGUUUGUCAGUCAUAAGUCCUCACUUCUUGCUAUUUCCAAUCUCAUUCAUUUGACCCAUUGGCAUUUUGACGCAGGAUUCCACGCUCGGUGUUCAACAGCAUCCUGUGGCCAUAUAACCACGAGCUUCCCAGAAUAAAAGCGCCUGGAUUCUGCUGUGUUUGACAAGCACAGGACAUGGAAAUGGAAGGCCUCAGCUUAUAUUCCAGUUCAGCCACUUCCUCAUGUGACCUUUGCUAAAUCAUUGCAUGUCUCUGUAUCAUAUAUUGCUCCUUCAAUAAUAUCAGACAAAACCAAACAGAAACUCCAGAAUUAAAGUGCAGUGAGUAAAAAUUAGGAAUAUUUGCAUUUCCCAAAACAGAAUGAUGCUAAUAGGAGCAAAACAAAUAACUAUUAGUGUUUUUAAGGAACUAAGAAUAAUAAUAAAUACUGUUCACUUUUGAUGUCAAUAUUAACCAUACAUAUAAAAUAGCAACGAGAUGUUUAUUUUUCUCAUGUAUAUAUCUUAUCAACUCAAAUCAUUUCCUUUGACAUUGAUCCUCUCUCACAAUCUGGUCCUACUCACAUGAUUUUACUUAAUUUUUUGUCUUU
rnacentral:lncRNA from 1 species